rnacentral:rRNA from 1 species
GACAGAGGGGGCAAGCGUUGCUCGGAAUCACUGGGCGUAAAGGGCGCGUAGGCGGGAUGGCAAGUCGGUCGUGAAAUCCCUCGGCUCAACUGAGGAGAGUCGGCCGAUACUGCAGUUCUUGAGGGAUGCAGAGGAGACUGGAAUUCCCGGUGUAGCGGUGAAAUGUGUAGAGAUCGGGAGGAACACCGGUGGCGAAGGCGGGUCUCUGGGCAUCUCCUGACGCUGAGGCGCGAAAGCGUGGGGAGCAAACGGG